UGCCUUUUCGUUUAUUUGAUUUCUGUGAACGAUCUCAAGAAACAAGGAGCUGUUUUCAAAGAGCUUAUUACAAAUCAGUAGCUUUAUUUAAUGAUGUAUAGGUUGCUCAUGAUAUUGUCCGUGUGCAAGGGAUUUGAUGAUUUUCCCGAUUAUUGGUAUUCUAAUGAUGAUGGUAUAGUAGACGAUAUAAAUAUAUAUCCUUACAAAAUUAAUGAGAAUACACUGACCAAAACAUUUGACAGUCGAAAGCCAGACAACACACCGCUACGGGCUGGUAAAAUGGCUGACAGUAAGCAAGUCUUGGACGUAUUGAGGACAGCGUUCAGCAAGUGCGCUGACAAAAACAAACAGUGCGCUGUACAACAAUUGGAACAGGGCAUAGAUUUUCUAAUGAACAGCAUACCGAUACUAGGGAUUAUUACAAAUCUUC